rnacentral:tRNA from 1 species
GAAAAAGUAUGCAAGAACUGCUAAUUCUAUGU